ensembl:snRNA RNA, U6atac small nuclear 21, pseudogene
GUGUUGUAUGAAAGGAGAAAAGGUUAGCACUCCCAUUGACAAGGAUGGAAGAGACCCUCUGUCCAGACAACAUCCAUACGGUUAAGGCAUUGCCACCUACUUUCUGGCAUCUAACCAACGUUUCUG